UGCGCAGGCGGGCUUGUAAGUCAGUGGUGAAAUACUGCCGCUUAACGGUAGAACUGCCAUUGAUACUGCAAGUCUUGAAUAUGGUUGAGGUAGGCGGAAUGUGUCGUGUAGCGGUGAAAUGCAUAGAUAUGACACAGAACACCGAUUGCGAAGGCAGCUUACUAAGCCAUUAUUGACGCUGAGGCACGAAAGCGUGGGGAGCGAACAGGAUUAGAUACCCUGGUAGUCC
rnacentral:rRNA from 1 species